UAAUGCUACAAAAAAACUGAGCAAUCCAUUGAAUUAAGAGGAACAAGAAGAAGAAGAAGAUGAAUUACAUAUCAAGCACGGCGUUUACUCAAACGCCAUGAAUUUGGCUCAUGGUAUCUGUCAUAAGGGUCAAAAUUUCCACCUGCAUUAUCAUAUAAGGACUAAGGGGGAAGUUUACAUCUUUUUAAUGCUACAAAAAAACUGAGCAAUCCAUUGAAUUAAGAGGAACAAGAAGAGGAAGAAGAUGAAUUGCAUAUCAAGCACGGCGUUUACUCAAACGCCAUGAAUUUGGCUCCUGAUAUCUGUCAUAGAGUGGUUCAAUCCGCUCUUGACGCUUUCGCUUGCUCAUCUUUGUAGGAUCUGAUACUUUGAAGAAUCUUGGUGCCAAUUCAACAAGCCAUUUAGGAUCUAUCACUGUGACCUCACGCAUAUAUUCCUUG
rnacentral:lncRNA from 1 species